rnacentral:rRNA from 1 species
GUCAGGACGAACGCUGGCGGCACGCUUAACACAUGCAAGUCGAACGGAGUUAUCGAGAGCUUGCUUUGAUAACUUAGUGGCGGACGGGUGAGUAACACGUGAGCAAUCUGCCCUUAAGAGGGGGGAUAGCAGUUGGAAACGACUGAUAAUACCGCAUAAGAUAGUAGUACCGCAUGGUACAGCUAUAAAAGAUUUAUCGCUUAAGGAUGAGCUCGCGUCUGAUUAGCUAGUUGGUGAGGUAACGGCUCACCAAGGCAACGAUCAGUAGCCGGACUGAGAGGUUGGACGGCCACAUUGGGACUGAGACACGGCCCAGACUCCUACGGGAGGCAGCAGUGGGGAAUAUUGCACAAUGGAGGGAACUCUGAUGCAGCGAUGCCGCGUGAGGGAAGAAGGUUUUAGGAUUGUAAACCUCUGUUGACAGGGACGAUAAUGACGGUACCUGUUGAGGAAGCUCCGGCUAACUACGUGCCAGCCGCCGC